AUCGCUUCUUGGCCUUUUGGCUAAGAUCAAGUGUAGUAUCUGUUUUUAUCAGUUUAAUAUCUGAUAUCUCAUCUAUCUGACAACAAUAUAUUAAAUGAAUUUUUGGCACUAGAAAAUGGAAUAGGGGCUUGCUCCGUCCAUUCCACGCAUUGACCUGGUAUUGCUCUAUCUCCAUAAAUGGUGCACCAAAA